UACGUAGGGAGCAAGCGUUGUCCGGAUUUAUUGGGCGUAAAGAGCUCGUAGGCGGUUUGGAAAGUCAGGUGUGAAACCUCCAGGCUCAACCUGGAGACGCCACUUGAUACUUCUAUGACUUGAGUUCGGUAGGGGUAAGCGGAAUUCCUGGUGUAGCGGUGAAAUGCGCAGAUAUCAGGAGGAACACCGAUGGCGAAGGCAGCUUACUGGGCCGAAACUGACGCUGAGGAGCGAAAGCGUGGGGAGCGAACAGG
rnacentral:rRNA from 1 species